ensembl:lncRNA
GCCGUAAGAGAACACUGUUCUGCACAUGGCCGUCUAAACAUUGGCAGAACACAGUGAUUUUAGGGAUGAAUUAGUAUUCUAAUCUCUUUGGGAUUUCCUUUAUAUUUGUGGUGGUUUAUGACUGACAUUUAAUGUAACCAUAGCUUUCUGUUUAUAUUUAAUAAAAGGUUCAUUUCUGUGGUAGGGCACACAUUUGUACGCCAGUGUUGAAUGAAAGCUACUGUUCUGCAAGAUGGAUAUAAAAUGCUGAUUUAUAAUGACACGGUCCAAAGCAAUCUAACUCUUCCAAACUAUUUCUUCCCAGGUCCCGGCAACAGCAGGGCCUCAGCAAAGGAUGAUUCUUUGCUUCCAGAAUAUUCAUCAUUUAACAUAUCAGUCCAUGCUGCAAUUAGACACGGAAAUUGGAAACUCCUCACAGGCUACCCAGGCUGUGGAUCCUGGUUCCCUCCACCGUCUCAAUCCAAUGUUUCUGCAUUUCCUUCAUUGGACCCACCAACCAAGACCCUCUGGCUCUUUGAUAUUGAUCAGGACCCAGAAGAAAGACACGACCUGUCCAGAAAAUAUCCCCACAUCGUCAGGAAGCUCCUUUCCCGCCUACAGUUCUACCAGAAACACUCAGUGCCUGUGUACUUCCCUGAGCAGGACCCCCACUGCGAUCCCAAGGCCACUGGUGUGUGGGGCCCCUGGAUGUAGGAUUUUGAUGAGGCAGGAACAUCUUUCCGUUGCAAGCUGGACCUUAGACCUUGACUCAUGCAGCCUAUCGUCACCUUUGUUCUUCUCCAUGGGUUCACCUGGCCCUCUUAUUGUUCAUAAAUCACACCAAAAAGUCCAGUUUCAACUCCUACUGCAUUUCAGAAGCCAACAAAAUCAGGAAGGCUCCUGCUGUUGGCUGGAGCUCAUGUCUGGAGGCAGGGGUGGCUGGGUUCAUCACGUUUUCUGAGCUAUGGGACAGCUGGGAACUUGACAUAGGAAGUUUCCAGUGAGUCCUGGAGGCUGGAGCAGCUGGCUCUUUUUGCCUCACAAGUCAGACAUUAGGUUUCCCACCGCCAAUAACCAGUUUUAUUGGAGUGACUCAGGUUUCUUUUAACAAAUGAAGAAAGCAGACAAUUGUUAAUUGUUCUGUUGGCUAGGGGGUUCUCCCUGUCUGUGAAAGAUCACGUUCAGGCAUUCCAUGUCAAUAACCCCCUGCUCACCCCUCACUCACUCAUCUCAUGGUGAGUAAGGUCCGUUUUAUUAAGGUCAAUAUGGCGAUAUACCUACACCCUGGUUUUGGUUUCUACAAUAAUGAAAUGUGUUUUUAUCCUACAUUUUUCCCCAGCCAUUGCUCAUUGUGUUUAAACUUCCUGCCACCCCAGCUCCCCUUUUCCUACCAUUCCUCCAAUGUCCUGUCUCUGGGAAGGCCACUUUUUUCUCCACUCUAAGCACUCCUGAACCCUGCCUGGAAAAGGUGGCUGCAUCACUUUUGGUCAUGCCCAUGGGGGAGACCAGGGCUGGGUGGGGGAUGUGUGGAUCUGUGAGGUUUCUGCAAAGUUGCAUAGAGUUCUUUAUCAUGACUGUGGCUUUAUCUCCUAAUAUAUUACAAGUUGCACUGCUAUUCCUGAGUAGGGAGGAGAAACCCCAGGAAAGGACCAAUUUGAUGUAAGAGAUUGGAAGUGAGCAACUUGACAAAGGAAAUGGAAAGCAUCUGGUACACGGGCCUUGUAAAACAGAGGAGGGGCCCAUCCACAUUUCUCUUCUUCCCUGACUUACCCCUGUAUUGGGGUUCUGGGAUCAGGCAAAGAGGAUGCACACUUUGACUUGCUACCCUUUCUCAAGCCCAUUAAUGUCCUACUAAUGUGGAUCAGUCCAGAUGAGCUGUGAAGAGGGUCAAACUCUGAGAAACAGGUGCAAAACUGUUUUUCAUCAGCUACACUGCUUUGUCCCCUGCUUAUUACCAAGGCCUGUGACAGUGCCUGGGACAUAAAAGGCACUCACUACAUUUUUGAAAAUAAAUGAGUGAAUGAACAAAUGAGUAAAUGAGAA